rnacentral:rRNA from 1 species
UACGUAGGGUGCGAGCGUUAAUCGGAAUUACUGGGCGUAAAGCGUGCGCAGGCGGUUCGUUGUGUCGGUGGUGAAAUCCCCGGGCUUAACCUGGGAAUGGCCAUGGAAACUGGCGAACUGGAGUGUGGCAGAGGGGGGUGGAAUUCCGCGUGUAGCAGUGAAAUGCGUAGAGAUGCGGAGGAACACCGAUGGCGAAGGCAGCUCGCUGGGACGGUACUGACGCUGAGACGCGAAAGCGUGGGGAGCAAACAGG